AUUAAUUUCUUAUUACUUGGUGAUUAGACUUCCAGUUGACUACUGGAUUUAGGAUUUAGAAAUUAGCAGUAGUACUGCAGCCACGUAAUGAGAUUCUGAAGACGAUUAGGUUCCUUACCCACGCUUAAAAAAAAUAAUGUCCAGUCAUUGUCAUUCGUUCAUAGUACUAACGUUAGAUGGUUUUCAGCAUAAGGCUCCUAACAGUGUUUACAAGUACAUUUUGAAAGAACUAGGCUACGUUUCAUCUGACCUAAAGCACACAGGGUCCCUUGUAGUUGGUCCUCCUUUUAGUUGGGAUGAAUUAUCCCCGAAAGAUAAAAAAACAAACGAAUGGCUAACGCGCAUGCGACAUGGAAUACAUUGGAAUGAUGGAGAUAUUCCAUACGAUGACUUAAAAAACAUCUUGCAAAAUUUAACAAAAAAUUUUCAAUAUAUAUACGUAAAAGGUAGCGAAAAUGCAAAGGUUUUCUUAGAUAUAUUGGAAAGGGAAAUUCAUGAAAUAACAAUUAUAAACUAUACAAAUAGUGAUCUAUCACCACCUAUGAGCAAAUGCCCUUUUCAUAGUUGUAGUAAAAGGUAUUAUUUCUGUGCGGGAAAAAAAGCUGCAAAGUAUUGGACGAGUAUUUCCGCAGGAAAUUUCGUUGUCCAUAAAAUAUAUGCCCCUACUUCGGAAAGGGACAAAAAUAAUUACUGGGAGGACGAUACUACAGGGGACAACUCGUAUCCCGAUCUUUCAAAAUCUACUAACUAGGCGCACGGUACUGCAAGAAACAUAAUUCCUCCUCCUCGUCUACCUCAAGAAAAAUUCUACUGGAAUGAUACUGCGAGACACAUCGUACCUCCUCCUCAUCUACCUCAAGAAAAAUUCUACUGGAAUGAUACUGCGAGACACAUCAUACCUACUCCUCAACUUGACUCAAACUUCUAUUGGAAUGAUACUGCGAGACACACCAUACCGUCUCCUCAACCCGACUCCAAAUAUCUUGUCAACCAAUAUUUUCUUCAUUUUUAAUGUACUAUUUCAUUUUUUAUUAUGAAUAAAUACUGAAAGUAUUAUUUACCAGAUG